GAUGAACGCUAGCGGCAGGCUUAAUACAUGCAAGUCGAGGGGCAGCACAGGUAGCAAUACUGGGUGGCGACCGGCAAACGGGUGCGGAACACGUACACAACUUACCUUCUGGUGGGGGAUAGCCUUUGGAAACGGAGAUUAAUACCCCAUAUUAUAUAUGAGCUGCAUGGUUUGUAUAUUAAAGAUUUAUUGCCGGAAGAUGGGUGUGCGUAUGAUUAGGUAGUUGGCGGGGUAACGGCCCACCAAGCCGACGAUCAUUAACUGGUGUGAGAGCACGACCAGUCACACGGGCACUGAGACACGGGCCCGACUCCUACGGGAGGCAGCAGUAAGGAAUAUUGGUCAAUGGACGGAAGUCUGAACCAGCCAUGCCGCGUGGAGGAUGAAGGUCCUCUGGAUUGUAAACUUCUUUUAUAGGGGGCGAAAAAAGGGAAUUCUUUCUCGUCUGACGGUACCCUAUGAAUAAGCACCGGCUAACUCCGUGCCAGCAGCCGCCGCGGUAA
rnacentral:rRNA from 1 species